rnacentral:rRNA from 1 species
CCUACGGGUGGCUGCAGUGGGGAAUAUUGGACAAUGGGGGCAACCCUGAUCCAGCCAUGCCGCGUGUGUGAAGAAGGCCCUCGGGUUGUAAAGCACUUUCAGUGAGGAAGAACGCCUGGUGGUUAAUACCCAUCAGGAAAGACAUCACUCACAGAAGAAGCACCGGCUAACUCCGUGCCAGCAGCCGCGGUAAUACGGAGGGUGCGAGCGUUAAUCGGAAUUACUGGGCGUAAAGCGCGCGUAGGUGGCUUGAUAAGCCGGUUGUGAAAGCCCCGGGCUCAACCUGGGAACGGCAUCCGGAACUGUCAAGCUAGAGUGCAGGAGAGGAAGGUAGAAUUCCCGGUGUAGCGGUGAAAUGCGUAGAGAUCGGGAAGAAUACCAGUGGCGAAGGCGGCCUUCUGGACUGACACUGACACUGAGGUGCGAAAGCGUGGGUAGCAAACAGGAUUAGAUAUCCCAGUAGUC